rnacentral:rRNA from 1 species
UACGUAGAAGACUAGUGUUAUUCAUCUUUAGUAGGUUUAAAGGGUACCUAGACGGUAAAAUUAAUCUUAAACAAGAUAUGUUUUUACUAGAGUUAUAUAUGAGGAGGUGAGUAUUUAUGCAGUAGAGUUGAAAUUCGUUGAUAGCAUAACGACUGGUAACGGCGAAAGCAACCUUUUAUCUAAUAACUGACGUUGAGGGACGAAGGCUCGGGUAACGAACAGG